UACCUGGUUGAUCCUGCCAGUAAUCAUAUGCUUGUCUCAAAGAUUAAGCCAUGCAUGUCUAAGUACAUGCCGAAAUAAGGCGAAACCGCGAAUGGCUCAUUAAAUCAGUUAUGGUUCCUUAGAUCGUUUCUUCCUACUUGGAUAACUGUGGCAAUUCUAGAGCUAAUACAUGCAGUGAGCCUGAAGCCCUUUGGGCGACGGGUGCUUUUAUUAGACCAAGAUCGAUCGGGUUUCGGCCCGUAUUGUGUGGUGACUCUGGAUAACUUUGUGCUGAUCGCAUGGCCACGAGCCGGCGACGUUUCUUUCAAGUGUCUGCUUAUCAACUUUCGAUGGUAGGUUACUUGCUUACCAUGGUUGUUACGGGUAACGGAGAAUCAGGGUUCGAUUCCGGAGAGGGAGCCUGAAGAAACGGCUACCACAUCCAAGGAAGGCAGCAGGCGCGCAAAUUACCCACUCCCGGCACGGGAGGUAGUGACGAAAAAUAACAAUACGGGACUCUUUUGAGGCCCCGUAAUUGAAAUGAGUACACUCUAAAUCCUUUAACGAGGAUCAAUUGGAGGGGCAAGUCUGGUGCCAGCAGCCGCGGUAAUUCCAGCUCCAAUAGCGUAUACUAAAGCUGCUGCGGUUAAAAAGCUCGUAGUUGGAUCUCAGUUCCAGACGAGUAGUGCAUCUACCCCGAUGCGACGGCUCGGACUGAACAUCAUGCCGGUCCUUUCUUGGUGCACUUCAUUGUGUGCCUCGAGAAGGCCGGUGCUUUUACUUUGAAAAAAUUAGAGUGCUCAACGCAGGCGAGUCGCCUGAAUAAACUUGCAUGGAAUAAUAGAACAAGACCUCGUUUCUGUUCUGUUGGUUUUUGGAAUACGAGGUAAUGAUUAAGAGGGACAGACGGGGGCAUUCGUAUUGCGGCGCUAGAGGUGAAAUUCUGGACCGUCGCAAGACGAACUACUGCGAAAGCAUUUGCCAAGAAUGUUUUCUUUGAUCAAGAACGAAAGUCAGAGGUUCGAAGGCGAUCAGAUACCGCCCUAGUUCUGACCAUAAACGAUGCCAACCAGCGAUCCCGCCUGAGUUACUCAAAUGACUCGGCGGGCAGCUUCCGGGAAACCAAAGUGUUUGGGUUCCGGGGGAAGUAUGGUUUGCAAAGCUGAAACUUAAAGGAAUUGACGGAAGGGCACCACCAGGAGUGGAGCCUGCGGCUUAAUUUGACUCAACACGGGAAAACUUACCCGGCCCGGACACUGGGAGGAUUGACAGAUUGAGAGCUCUUUCUUGAUUCGGAUUGACAGAUUGAGAGCUCUUUCUUGAUUCGGUGGAUGGUGGUGCAUGGCCGUUCUUAGUUGGUGGAGCGAUUUGUCUGGUUAAUUCCGAUAACGAACGAGACUCUAGCCUAUUAAAUAGGUGCGGGGUUCCCAGCACCUUACAACCUUCUUAGAGGGACAAGCGGCUCCUAGCCGCACGAAACAGAGCAAUAACAGGUCUGUGAUGCCCUUAGAUGUCCGGGGCCGCACGCGCGCUACACUGAAGGAAGCAGCGUGUCUUUAUCCCUGUCUGAAAGGACUGGGUAACCCGUGGAACUUCUUUCGUGAUUGGGAUAGGGGCUUGCAAUUGUUCCCCUUGAACGAGGAAUUCCCAGUAAGCGCGAGUCAUAAGCUCGCGUUGAUUACGUCCCUGCCCUUUGUACACACCGCCCGUCGCUACUACCGAUUGAAUGAUUUAGUGAGGUCUUCGGACCGAUGUCCGGCGCGGCCUUUCGGUUGCGCCGGUCUGUUGGAAAGAUGACCAAACUUGAUCAUUUAGAGGAAGUAAAAGUCGUAACAAGGUUUCCGUAGGUGAACCUGCGGAAGGAUCAUUA